ensembl:lncRNA
AUGGAGACCAUAAGAAGGUGUGAUUCUGCCAGUGGAAGAGUCGGCGCCCUCCUCAGCAGGACCUCCCUCACUCACUUCGCAGCCAGAAAGGGAUGGACCGAGGUCCCCUGCACCCGCCUGGACAAGGGAACGACCUUCCUUCCACCCUCCCUGCGCACCCGAUCUGUGCCCAUCAUCCCUUCGCUUCAAGCGUGUGACCUCGAGGCGGGGAAUGUGGACACGAAUGACCGGAUCCAAGGGGGGCUCAUAAAGUGGCACCCCAUGCUGGCUGGGAAGACAGUGGUGCCCAUUAGCAAUUCUCCAUCUCCACCCUGUGAGACUGUUGUGCUGGCGCCUGGUGUUAUGCCCAGCAGUGUUAGCCCCCCUGCCACCACCACCACCGUUACACUGGGGUCGGAGAAGAAUCUCAGCUCCACACAAACACCCUGCGCCAUUGAAAUUACGGUGGAACUUGGGCACGAAUUAAAACAGAAAAGCCUUCCCAGCCCCAUGAAAAUUUCUGGGUCUCACAGCGAGAGCCAACGCCGUGGCACAAACACUCCAGAGGCUGGGACUGUGCGGGAGUCAGAAGGGAAAAGUGUCCAAUAUUCAGCCAGAGUUCUGCACACAGGCAGUGGGACCAGAGGUUUGAAGGCAGCAGGCCAAAGAGAAGCCCAGGGACAGUGCCAAGGUCAGACGUCCCUCGUGUACGGAGGCGCAAACUGCUCCUUGGCCACCAAAGGACCCAGCUGCAGAGGAACUGGAAACGCUUAUGCCAAGCCCUCUGCAAGCUGAUUGGAUUAAGUCUGUAAAGCUUCAAAGACAGUGUUUCCAAUAACUGUAUACCUUUGCUGGUGGCACAGAAUGGUUGGAAGGUGACACCAUCUGUGUGGCCGCAUGGACCAAUAACAGAUGGCUGUUCGAUUUUGAAGGAACGUCAACAGAUUGAACUGCCGAGGGAAAAAAUAUUGACACAACAAAAGACAAAUUAUAAAGAAAAAGAGACAAACAAACACACAUUGUGAAUAAAUGUGACUCAAUAAGGAAAACAAAACCGUGACUUGAGUGGGAGCUUGACUUAAACAGUGUAUUGAAAAAAAAUGCCACUAUUUAAAAGGAGCUUCUACUUAGAAACCAAAAUAGUGUGUCAUCUCUAUGUUGUUUCUCUAUUGUAAAGAAAUGAAAUUAUAUAUGUCAUAUAAUAUAUGUCAUAUAGACGUAUAUAUAUUUGACUACAAUUGUGACAAAAUAAAGACUAAGAUAACAGUGUUAAUUAAGGGCUUUGUUCAUCUCAAUCCAUUUUUGCUACAUGAUCUAAAGAAUAUAUGCUUAUGUUUGUAAUUGUCCAUACAUAUAAUAUACAGGAUAAUCAGUACAAACACUAAAGAUGUACAAUCCAACAUAAAAUAUGCCAUGGUUAGGACUAAUUUAAGCUGAGUUUUCCCUUUAUCUCCAUGGCAACAAACACCUGUCGCAUGCACUUCUUCCUCUUUCUGGGAGAAUUUAAUCAUGCACCUUUUUAGCUAUCCCUAUUAGCCCAACCCUAAAACAGCCACACUAAUUAAGUAUAGUUCAUUAUUUUUGCUUCAGAUACAGGUAGCUGUUUUUCAUGUGUGCAUGUGUGUGCUGGUGGGAUGUUCCACAGGAAUUAAUGAGGGAUAAGAAGGUGCAAAAGGAAGGAGAAAGUACUCCCCUGAAACAACCUUCUCUCUUUUAUUCUUAAGUUUUGAAAAAAGUUUCUACACACAUCUCACAGUGAAAGCACAAAAUGAGUGGAGCAUAAUGGUUAAAGGCUUGGUGAAGGAGCAGUGUGAGCAGUGUAUGUGAAGAAAAGGGUAUUUCAGUCUAUACUUAUUAUUUCCCACGAUGUUCUUACUUGUAUCCAUAGGCUAUAAACACAAAAGAUCAACUUUACUGUUUUGAGUUAUAACAAUGGCCAUGAGGUUUGUGAAUGGAAAUGAACCACAGCAGCAUAUGAGCCGAGUACAAUUCUUUAUUUAUGCUUCAUUUAAGUCAAAUUCAGUAUAUCUGCGUUUCCUCCUUUUCAGGUUUGCAAUGACUGCUGGCAAGGUAAGUUGUACAGGACUUACAAAUGGGUAUUACUGAGACUGAAAACUAUCUUGCGUCUAUAAGAAGGUUUUUAUGAAGAUUAAAAUGAACUUCAUUGAUCCCCGAGAAGAAAUGGAGCCAAGCUGCGAAGGAAAGAUAAAAUUACCAUAAAUAAAAACUAUUUAGGGUUCUAAAUACAUACAGUGUGUGUUAGCGAGGCAGAAUUUCACAGCAUUUUCAGAUGUUUACAUACUGUACUUACUCUGCGGUGCAAGACUACAAAGGGAAGGUGUGCAAAUACAGACGGAUGCCAUAUUCAAGGGGAAAAUCGGAAUAAAUAAGUGGAGAAACAUAAUGAAUGCAAAUACUCCCAGAGAGGACACAGGGGCUCCCUGACGAGUAUUAAAAUGAUAUGAUAUAAGCUAUACCCUUCAUAGUCACUGGAUUGCAACCCAGUUAAAAACCUAUAGAAGAUUAUAGACUGACAACAUCAUCAACACAAAUGAGGAGAAAAUCUUUAGGAAGAGUUCCAGAUGUAGAAUCUAUUCCAAGGAUCAAAAAAGCUGUCAAUGAGGCCCAUGGCAGCCCAACAACUUACUAAGACAGCCAUCUUUAUGCAUCAUUAUCCAUUCACGGUAUCAUAUUUAUGAUUCAGAUGCACACAUUUGCAUCAUUGGCUGCUCAUGAUGAUAAUAAAUGUAAACAAUAUGUACAGAAAUCUGUGCAGGACAUUUUUGAAGGUGGAGGGAUGGGUGGCACAAACAUUUACCAUUUGUGAUAAGAGCUUCUUUGUAUGAAGCAUCAUUAACUGGAGGUAAAAUGCAAACACUGAGAGCACACAGAAAAAAGCUGUAUUAAAAAAAAUUAUUAUUAUUUACAACUUU